UACAGAGGUCCCAAGCGUUGUUCGGAUUUACUGGGCGUAAAGGGUGCGUAGGUGGCGGGGUAAGUCGGAUGUGAAAUCUCCAGGCUCAACCUGGAAAUGGCAUUGGAAACUACCUUGCUGGAGAGUUGGAGGGGGGACUGGAAUACUUGGUGUAGCAGUGAAAUGCGUAGAUAUCAAGUGGAACACCAGUGGCGAAGGCGAGUCCCUGGACAACUUCUGACGCUGAGGCACGAAAGCGUGGGGAGCAAACAGG
rnacentral:rRNA from 1 species